GGUCCCCCAAAACACUGGAAUCACAGUAUUCUGAAAAGGAGGACAAAUAUGAAGAAGAAAUUAAACUUCUGUCUGACAAACUGAAAGAGGCUGAGACCCGUGCUGAAUUUGCAGAGAGAACAGUUGCAAAACUGGAAAAGACAAUUGAUGACCUGGAAGAGAAACUUGCCCAGGCCAAAGAAGAGAACGUGGGCUUACAUCAGACACUGGAUCAGACACUAAAUGAACUUAACUGUAUAUAAGCAAAACAGAAGAGUCUUGUUCCAACAGAAACUCCGGAGCUCCGUGGGUCUUUCUCUUCUCUUGUAAGAAGUUCCUUUUGUUAUUGCCAUCUUCGCUUUGCUGGAAAUGUCAAGCAAAUUAUGAAUACAUGACCAAAUAUUUUGUAUCAGAGAAGCUUUGAGCACCAGUUAAAUCUCAUUCCUUCCCUUUUUUUUUCAAAUGGCACCAGCUUUUUCAGCUCUCUUAGUUUUUCCGUAAGUUGCAUUUAUUCCUAAGGUAGGCAGGGUAUUUCCUAGUAAGCAUACUUUCUUAAGAUGGAGGCCAUUUGGUUCCUGGGAGAAUAGGCAGUCCCACACUUUGAAGAACACAGACCCCAGUAUCUAGUCGUGGAUAUAAUUAAAACGCUGAAGACCAUAACCUUUUGGGUCAAC
rnacentral:sRNA from 1 species